UCCCCCGUGAGGGGGCAGUCUCGCCUGACAUAAGUAACAGACAACGGGGGUUGCGUUCGUUACCCCACUGAAGGGAACAGCUCAAGCCACGAACUGACGACAACCAUGCAUCACCUGCCAAGCACCCUCGAAGGCUCCCUCCCUUUCGGGAAGGAUGCAGCUUGGUUUCUAGCCCUGGUAAGGCUCUUCGCUUAACGACGAAUUAAGCCACAUGAUCCACCGCUUGUGCGAGUCCCCGUCUAUUCCUUUGAGUUUUAGCCUUGCGGCCGUACUUCCCAGGCGGAGCGCUUAAUGCGUUAGCUACGGCACUGCAGGGGUCAACACCCGCAACACCUAGCGCUCAUCGUUUACAGCGUGGACUAC
rnacentral:misc_RNA from 1 species